rnacentral:rRNA from 1 species
GACGAACGCUGGCGGCGUGCUUAACACAUGCAAGUCGAACGGAAAGGCCCUUCUUUUGUGGGGUGCUCGAGGGGCGAACGGGUGAGUAACACGUGAGUAACCUGCCCUUGACGUUGGGAUAACUUCAGGAAACUGGGGCUAAUACCGGAUAGGAGCUCCGGCUGCAUGGUGGGGGUUGGAAAGUUUCGGCGGUUGGGGAUGGACUCGCGGCUUAUCAGCUUGUUGGUGGGGUAGUGGCUUACCAAGGCUUUGACGGGUAGCCGGCCUGAGAGGGUGACCGGCCACAUUGGGACUGAGAUACGGCCCAGACUCCUACGGGAGGCAGCAGUGGGGAAUAUUGCACAAUGGGCGGAAGCCUGAUGCAGCACCGCCGCGUGCGGGAUGACGGCCUUCGGGUUGUAAACCGCUUUCGCCUGUGACGAAGCGUGAGUGACGGUAAUGGGUAAAGAAGCACCGGCUAACUACGUG